UCUGCCCCUAGAGACAUUGCAGGUGUGGCUGCUGUGUCCCAUGUGCAUCAGUAGGGGGCAGAGAGGAGAGAGGCUGUGUCUAUGCUCAGUGUCCUGACCUGUGAACGUCUGAAUGAUUAGCAGCCUAACAUU